rnacentral:rRNA from 1 species
CGCGUAAGGGGAACCUGCGGAGGGAUCAUUACACAACAAAAAUAUGAGGGUGUGGUUUGCUGGCAACAGCGUCCGCCCCAAGUAUUUUUCACCCAUGUCUUUUGCGCACUUUUUGUUUCCUGGGCGAGUUCGCUCGCCACCAGGACCCAACCAUAAACCUUUUUUUAUGCAGUUGCAAUCAGCGUCAGUAUAAUAAUUCAAUUUAUUAAAACUUUCAACAACGGAUCUCUUGGUUCUGGCAUCGAUGAAGAACGCAGCGAAAUGCGAUACGUAGUGUGAAUUGCAGAAUUCAGUGAAUCAUCGAAUCUUUGAACGCACAUUGCGCCCUUUGGUAUUCCAAAGGGCAUGCCUGUUCGAGCGUCAUUUGUACCCUCAAGCUUUGCUUGGUGUUGGGCGUCUUUUUGUCUCUCCCCUUGUUGGGGGAGACUCGCCUUAAAACGAUUGGCAGCCGACCUACUGGUUUUCGGAGCGCAGCACAAAUUUGCGCCUUCCAAUCCACGGGGCGGCAUCCAGCAAGCCUUUGUUUUCUAUAACAAAUCCACAUUUUGACCUCGGAUCAGGUAGGGAUACCCGCUGAACUUAAGCAUAUCAAAAC